UCCCACUUCUGGACCUGGAUCCCUAUCUCCUGGAUCUCAGCGUGAAGACCACAGGAAGCUGCUCCUUGCUGCAUCCGUUUGGUGCUGAGUCCAUGUUCUGGUAACCGUCCGAAGAGCUGGUUUUAUAAUGAGCUGCUGAAAAACGGAUGCCCCCGACGUGUUCCCAGGCUGCUGGCUGGGAUCCUCUCUGCUGGUCCUCACCGGUCAUCCCGCAGAAGGCGUGUGAGCAGCUCUGGGUCCAGUGUGUUCACUGACCACAGACCUCUGAGCCAAUCAGCACACAGGACGACUCACCUGUCCCAUCAGCCAACGGGGGAAGGGAGACAUGGAACCUGAAGGCUCCUGCACAACAACCUGUGUUUGUGGACCUGCACCGGACAUGAAACGGGCCGUGCAGACGUUCCAGAUUCCUUCUAAACAUCCAUGUUUGAAUACGAGGGGGCGUGGCCACCACGUGUCACCUGCGGGGGGCGUGGCUACUACGCAGACGCGGGGUGGUGAGGCAACCAGUAACCAGAACUGGACCCAAGAUUCUCCAAAGUGA
rnacentral:lncRNA from 1 species